CCUCCAGUAGCUCAGCGGUAGAGCAGGGAGGAAACAUAGCAAUAGUUUCGGAGGGAUAUCUCCCCGUCGCUGGUUCGACUCCAGCCUGGAGGA